AAAAAAAAACUACACCUUAUAUCCCAACUUUAGGAUAACUAUUUUUAGGAGGAAUUUUUUUUUUGUUAAACUAACAUUGUGACAAAUAUUGUAUCUCUCACCUCUGCUUUGCGGGUCACAAUAGUUAGGGUUUUGUCUUGCUUUCACCAAGCAUCCGAUUUCAAAGAUAGAUCCUUUCCGGAGGUAUCAUCCUGCAAUCCAUGUGAAAAAGAUCAAAAUUAAGAUCGAUCUACAAUUACAACGGAGACACAUAAGACAAAAAGCCAGCCAGAGGAGACAUAUAAGAGAAUUUGUAGCUACUCUGUGCAUUCUUUAUCUUUUCUGCUAUCUGUGUGUUUAUCGUAUAUAUAUAUUAAAUGUAGCAAAGGAUAGGUAGUUUUUUUUUUGCCGACAGGUAGGUUAAAGGGUGAUAGUUGGAUAUCAAUUAUUUUCGUUGAGCACAAUAUUUUGUGAA